rnacentral:misc_RNA from 1 species
UUGCCCUCUAGCUAUAGCAGCAGUCUAGCGCCGGCAGUCACGCUAUAGCAGCGGUUUAGCGUUCGAUCGUCGCGACAUCUAUAUUAGUUAAGCGCCGAUAGUCACGCUAUAGCAGCAGUUUGGCGUUCGAUCGUCGCGACAUCUAUAUUGACAGAGUGUGAUUACGCGUGGGUAUUUACAAGUACUCGAAUGUGGCAGGUACUUUAAAUACUCGAAUACCAUUCUGAUGAAUAUUUCCACGGUUUUCUUUGAAUGCUAUGAACAAUAUUUUGUACAACGUUUUCCGAAACAAAUAAUUCUGCGUUUUGUGUUUCACGUUUUCGAAUCUAAGAACCUAAAACAUUGUGACGUGUCAGCAGUUUCGGUAUGAUAGUGGUGGGCACUGUCGUGUUCCUGCCACGCCCGUUUUGUGCGGCCGACAUUCUUGUUCAGGAUUGUUUCUGAGGAUGGUUUGAUUUCCCUGGCGCUAAUGAGUGAGUUUAGGAAGUGAAAUCUUGCAUAACUCUAUGUGGAUUGAAUCAGAUAAAUGCCCGUUGUUGAUGGUGAUAUGAAACUAGCAGAUUUACCGUGAUCUCUGUCUGAUAUCAGCACUUGAACUCUGCGCUGGAUUUGUAUUUGUUUGCCGCAUUUCAUGUAUGUAGAGCUAAAGGUCCGCGAUAAGGCCUAGAAACUAGAAAGUAUUUUGAGAAUGUUAUUUUGUUUAAGGCUGUGAAUAGCCAAGCCAAAGGUGUUUCAGGUUUGUCCGUGUUUGAGUACCAAACUGAUAACUUUGUUUCUGCAGGAAUAAUAUGAAGAGACUGUUUCGACCGUGUGUCAGAGGGAAUCAGCCCCCCAGUUAGUCCGGCAUGAGGUGCACACAGUCAGUAAGUUUAACCGAUUGAACUGGUCGUUUUCAGUCUUAUGAUAGUAUGUGCCUAGUAUGUGCUACUUGCAGUCGAAAUGUGUCAAGGACGAACGAGUAUGGGUCAUGUCAAGGUCUAAUCGUCAGAUCGAGUGUGGCUCAGUUGUUGUGUUAGGGAAGAGCUCACUGCUGCUAUAUGUGACGAUUGUUCUGACGUGUUGCAGAAACGGAUCUAUAGACAAGAUGAAUACAAGGUCCUGUAUUUGACUACACCUGUUUUGGGACGGAGACAUGCCAGAACUAAUAGUUUUGACUGUCUGCUACAAGACUGCUCAUCCGACUGCAACUGGAGUGCAUCUACCACGAGACUGCUCACCCGACUGCAGUGAGUGCAUCUACCACAAGACUGCUCAUCCGACUGCAGUGAGUGCACCUGCCACGAGACUACUCAAUGAAACGCAGAAUAAUAUGAAGAGACUGUUUCGACCGUGUGUCAGAGGGAAUCAGCCCCCCAGUUAGUCCGGCAUGAGGUGCACACAGUCAGUAAGUUUAACCGAUUGAACUGGUCGUUUUCAGUCUUAUGAUAGUAUGUGCCUAGUAUGUGCUACUUGCAGUCGAAAUGUGUCAAGGACGAACGAGUAUGGGUCAUGUCAAGGUCUAAUCGUCAGAUCGAGUGUGGCUCAGUUGUUGUGUUAGGGAAGAGCUCACUGCUGCUAUAUGUGACGAUUGUUCUGACGUGUUGCAGAAACGGAUCUAUAGACAAGAUGAAUACAAGGU